rnacentral:rRNA from 1 species
UGGGUAACCUGCCUCAAAGAGGGGAAUAGCCUCCCGAAAGGGAGAUUAAUACCGCAUAAUAUGUUUAGGUCGCAUGACUUUAACAUCAAAGGAUUUUCUUUUAGAAAUUCCACUUUGAGAUGGACCCGCGGCGCAUUAGCUAGUUGGUGAGGUAACGGCUCACCAAGGCAACGAUGCGUAGCCGACCUGAGAGGGUGAUCGGCCACAUUGGAACUGAGACACGGUCCAGACCUCGUACGGGGA